rnacentral:rRNA from 1 species
GACAGAGGGUGCAAACGUUGUUCGGAAUUACUGGGCAUAAAAGAGCACGUAGGUGGUCUGCUAAGUCACGUGUGAAAUCCCCCGGCUCAACCGGGGAAUUGCGCGUGAUACUGGCAGGCUCGAGGCGGGUAGGGGUGAGCGGAACUCCAGGUGGAGCGGUGAAAUGCGUAGAUAUCUGGAGGAACACCGGUGGCGAAAGCGGCUCACUGGACCCGAUCUGACACUAAGGUGCGAAAGCUAGGGUAGCAAACGGGG